rnacentral:rRNA from 1 species
UCUGCUCCAUGAUUGNAAGAUUAAAUAGCUGCAGAAUUUUAACUGUACAAAGGUAGCAUAAUCAAUAGUUUUUUAAUUAAAAGCUGGAAUGAAUGAUUUUAUAAGGUAUUUAUUGUCUCAAUUUUAUUAAAAUUAUAAUUUUUUUUUUAGUAAAAAUACUAAAAAAAAUUUAAAAGACGAGAAGACCCUAUAGAUUUUUAUAUUAAAAAUUAAAUAAAUUUAAAUUAAUUAAUAAGAUUUAAUUGGAAAAUAUUUGGUUGGGGAAAUUAUUAAAUUUAAAAAAUUUUAAUUAAAUAAAAACAAUAAUUAUUGAUUUUUUUUUUUGAACUUAUGUUAUAAAUUUAAAGAAUAAAUUACCUUAGGGAUAACAGCGUAAUUUUUUUGGAGAGAUCAUAUUGAUAAAAAAGUUUGCGACCUCGAUGUUGAAUUAAGAUAAAAUUUUAAUGAAGAAGUWAAAAAA